rnacentral:tRNA from 1 species
AGCUCGAUGUUGAAACGGCCAUCAUUUCUCACUUUGAAUGAGAAGUUCCAGGUUCGAAUCCUGGUCGGGCUG